GUCGCGCCCGUUCCGUCCCGGGCGCCGCGCCAAGGUCCGCGCCGCUGCCACGCCGUCCGCGCCGGGCCGUCCCGCCGGCCGUCUCUUUUCCGCGACACCCCUCCUCUCCGACCCCUCUGCCGCGAGAGCCAUGGCCGCCCGCCUUCGCCAUACCGCCAGGGCGCUAGCCAUGCAUGCGCUCGGCACCUCCCCUCACUUGCAGGCCGCCGCCGCACCUCCGCAGAUGACGAUGUCGAUACAGGAGCGCGCCGCCGCUGCGUGGUGUUCGUGGAUCGGCCACCAUGGUUCCCCUGUCUGACUGCCUCAACCGUCGCCGCUGUGCGCUGGGCAGUGCGUCUGAUUAUUUUCCCGUGACCUGCGGCCCUCUCCGCCCUGCCCCCGCUCCAUCUCGGCGAGUGCCACCGCCGUGUGCCGUUUGGGGGCGGCCAUCCCCGGGGUUCCUCCUCCUCAUCCGUGUGCACCGCCCCACCCCUCCUCGCUGAGAUCCCCCACACUACGAUCUCCGCUCCCCAACCUCCAUGGAUGAAGUUUCUAAUCGAUCAUGGCAGAUGCUAUUUUCUGCCGAUGCCGAUUCAAUCCAUUGAGUUCCUUGCCAAUCCAUUCAAUCCAUGGCCAAUCCGAUUGAUGGUGAGUUCUUGUCGAUCCAUUUGAUGGUGAGUUCUAACCGAUCCAAUACAUUCAAUAGAUUUUGACCAAUGAAAUUUUCUGGCCGAUUCAAUCCAUCUCUAAAUUGAAAUGUGUUCAAUUUUUCUAGCCAAUCCAACUGAGGGUGCGAAUAAUCCAGCUGAUCCAUACAUGUUAAUCCAGUUCCACGUCAUCAUGUUCAUCUACCAUACAAUUUGAUUCUGUUGCAUUGUUGUACUGAACCAAGUAUUUGCUCGUCAAGCCACUGUAAACCAAGCCGUGUGUGGAUAGAAACUCAUCUGAAAUGAUGUGCAAGUACAUCAGUCAAGCAUAUGUAAAUCUAUUUUUUCUACUUCAUCCAUUUGUGCAUUUCUCAUGGUGGUGGCUGCAGUGUAUUGAGCAUACAAAUUAUUUCCUAUUCGCAAAAAAACACAAAUAUGUUUGAUUUAUAUUACUUCUGUUUAUCUGGAAUGGUAGUGAGAUGUUUUGGCCUUGACAAGUUUGUACAGAUUCAAUUGUUGUAUUUUCUGUCAGAGGGGAGCAACGUCUAUAUGGGAGAUAAACACUUCAUUGCAUGUUCUUGAUUUUGCCUUUGUAUAAACUAUUACGCUGUCAACAUGGAGCUUUGAUUUUUAUGAUGCAUUCUGCUCCAUUUCUCAUUUUACAUAUAAUACACAGGCACUUCCCCAAUUGAGAUGGAGUACAUGAAUGGAUGGAUGGUUUUAGCAAGCACAAUAUGCUGAGGGCCGCGUAUGCUAUCAUCUGGGAGGUAGGAGCAGGUGUCCACUUGUAAACUGAGGGGCUUCAGCACCGAAGCACUAAUUUUAACACAUAAAUGGGACAGUGAGAAUUUACCAAGUGACAGCAUGAUUCUGGGCAUACUCACUUGUGCAUUCAACACUCCAGCCAACUGUUGGUCUUGUGUUCACUCAACAAUCCUUGGCAUUAUUCAUUAGCCUAAGGUAUUCCUUGCCAAUUAAACCUAUGUAUGCUACAACAAAUUUUGUAUUCUCUGGUUUGAUCUCCUUGUGGAUCUGCAUUCUUCUAAUUUUCAUGCCUUGUCAACUACCAAUGUCACAGUGCUUCCUACCAUUUAUCUGGAUGUUUAGUACCAAA